rnacentral:tRNA from 1 species
UCCUUGGUGGUUCAGUGGUUAGGACUUGGCACUUUCACUGCUGUGGCCUGUGUUCAACCCCUGGUUGGGGAA